GCCUUCCUAGCUCAACGGCAGAGCAGCGGUUUUGUAAACCGUCGAUCAGAGUCCGACUCUCUGGGAAGGCUCAA
rnacentral:tRNA from 3 species